CAGCAAAAUAUGAGUUUAGUAGACCGUAGAAAGAGCCAGAGAUCUCAAACAAGGUUAUAAGAGCGUUCCAAUGUAGAAUGUUUCAUGCAUCUGUCAUCUUCAGCAUCCUACUGCAUUGGAGAUUAUGCGUCAACAACAGCCUUUCCCUUAUCAACUUUUCUGAUGACAGGAAUCCCAGUGCUAGUUUUGCCAACCUAACAGAGGUUUUAUUGAGAAAUUUUGUCAGUGAGAGAGUUUAGCAUUACAAGAGAAUUUGUUGGAGCUGUUAGCAAGAUACCUCAUGAACUUGCUUCUUGUUUUGAGUUGUACUGGUUUCGUGGAAGAGAGUUUCGCCUGGUUUAGGAGAGCAUUUCCAUACUGGUAAAUCUGGAUCUCCCUCUGGCCAUUUCAUAUCCUCUGCCUGAACCUGCAAAGAGUUUGAGAUCAGGGGUUUCAGCUGCUGACAAAAAAGGGGACGAAUAUAAAACUUGAAGAAGAGGAAGAACAAUUUGAUUUUACAUGUCUGAGAUCAACCCAGUUGCAUGGGUCCUCAUAAUCCUUAUUGCUGAAAGCACUCAACAAGUGGUGCGUUUCCUGUAGAUUCAAAACUAUAUUUCUUAGAAGGGCUGAGAUCUGACCUGAUGAACAACACACAAGUAAACAUGAAGUGACUUACCGUAUUUGCGUCAUACUUUGUGAUGAGGAAUUCAAUGUACUCGUCUUCGUCAGGCAUUUGUAUAUGGACCCGUCUUCCAACAAGAGACCCAGGAGAAACCUGGCCCCAGCUCGAGUCAGGAGCUAAAACCCUGUCUUGCUAAGCAAUCAGAAAGACAUAGAAUUAAAGCCAGAUUGAAUUUUUUAGGAGUUGGAAAAUGAUGAUUAUCAAAACCUACAAUUUUGGCAUUGUCAUCCUUGUUCAGUUUGAUACGGAUUAUCAGAGGUUGGCCAUCUACGCCAGUAAUUUCCGGUUCUUCAGCGACAGUAAGUUUCUGCAUUUCCUUCUCAUCAGACGCCAAUGAAACAUUCCUGAGAAACAGACACAAACUUAGAGAAGCAAGGGGAGAAGAUCACAUCGUUGCAGUAGUAAAACCAAUGAUUAAGAUACCUCAAUUGCAGGACCAUUGGAUCAGCUUCGAUUGCAUUGUGAUAAGUCUGGUGAGUCUUGUACUCAAUCUUCAAUUCUUUCAACAGUUCUUGCAUGAUCACGAUCCUUGACUGAAGAAGAGAAGACAUGAACUCAAGUUCCAAGAAGCGAAUCAAAUGCAUAUACAGAACAAGAACGAUUAGAUUACGCUGGAUAUUGCAGGAGAUUCUGCUUUGAAGGCAUGGAGAACAUAAUAGUAAGCCCUAUCCUGGAGCAUGCUGAGUUUCACUUUCUUGUCCAAGGGGCUGAACAGGAUAUCAUCGUCACCUUUAUAGCUCGGCACAGUCUCUGUGUUCUUGAUCGGUAUAUCAGUUGAUUCUUCUUCAACGGAAUCAAGAUCAGAAGAAAAUCCAUCACCGUUCAUCACCGAUCAGUCUGGUUCCAUCAAUGGGAGAGAAAACAGAGGAAUCCGAAACUCUAGAACCCUGAUUGCUGAAAUCGCAAAACCCAUGAGAAAGUGAAGAAGAGACUUACGAGAGGAAGAAUUUGGGGCUUGAUCUUUGUGGUCCGACAUUGUUGAGAACAUAGGAAUCGGAGAGAAGCGUCUUGUUGAAGAAGUUUGAGAGAAACCCUAGAGAUAGAAGGAUCUUCAAAAACGUUGCAUGGGUCGUCGAUAAGAGAAGAAGUUACGAAAGUUUUUUUUAUGUGCUUUUCGAGAUUUUGAACGUAAAAUAGUGAAACUAUACUUCUUGUAGAAGAAGGUACUUCUUGAUCACUUGACACGUCAGCAAUUGAAGAGUGAGUCUGCGGUUAAUUUCAACAUCAUUUACUCAAUACUGUUUGGAUUGGUGACUGGAUUAGUUACGGAUUAAAACUAUAAUCCAACGGUUGUGGAUAAUAGUAGUAGAGUUUCAAGAAUUAAUACUUGGCUAGUGAAAAAUAGUCAGUGUCAUUUUAUUUUUUUUGGCAUUAAAGUACUGUCCUUUAUAACUGCGCUACUAACAAAUUGUUUUAGUAAAAACUAAAAUGUU
rnacentral:lncRNA from 1 species